rnacentral:rRNA from 1 species
UUGAACGCUGGCGGCAUGCCUUACACAUGCAAGUCGAACGGUAGAGGGGCAACCCUUGAGAGUGGCGAACGGGUGAGUAAUGCAUCGGAACGUGCCCAGUCGUGGGGGAUAACGCAGCGAAAGCUGUGCUAAUACCGCAUGUGAUCUGUGGAUGAAAGCAGGGGACCGCAAGGCCUUGUGCGAUUUGGAGCGGCCGAUGUCAGAUUAGCUAGUUGGUAGGGUAAAAGCCUACCAAGGCGACGAUCUGUAGCUG